GAUGAAGAACGUAGCGAAAUGCGAUACGUAAUGUGAAUUGCAAAUUCAGUGAAUCAUCGAGUCUUUGAACGCACAUUGCGCCCCCUGGUAUUCCGGGGGGCAUGCCUGUCCGAGCGUCAUUGCUGCCCUCAAGCACGGCUUGUGUGUUGGGCCCCGUCCUCCGAUUCCGGGGGACGGGCCCGAAAGGCAGCGGCGGCACCGCGUCCGGUCCUCGAGCGUAUGGGGCUUUGUCACCCGCUCUGUAGGCCCGGCCGGCGCUUGCCGAUCAACCCAAAUUUUUAUCCAGGUUGACCUCGGAUCAGGUAGGGAUACCCGCUGAACUUAAGCAUAUCAAUAAGCGGAGA
rnacentral:misc_RNA from 1 species